rnacentral:rRNA from 1 species
GGGGUAAAAUUAAUAAAUAAAUAAUAAUAAAAAAAUUUUUAAAAUAAAAAUAUUAUAAUGGGGGUUAAAGUAUUUUUAAUAAAAAAAAUUAAAAAAUUUAUAGGUAAUUAUUAUUGUAAAAGAAUUUUGAAAUAAAAUGAAAAUAAAUUUAUAUUAAAGUAAAUUUUGUUUAUUGUAUCUUGUGUAUCAGAGUUUAUUAAAUUAAAAUUUUAAAUAAAAUAAUCUCGAAUUUAAAAGAGUUAAUUAAUUAAGAAAGUUAAUGUUGAAUAAUUAUUUUAAAUAAUUAAUUAGAAAUGAAAUGUUAAUCGUUUUUAAAAAUAUCUAGUUUUUUUAGAAAAAAAUUUAAUUUUGAAUUAAAAUAAUUUAUUUAUUUAUUGAUUUAAUAAAUAAAAUUUAAAAUUUAAUAGUUUGGGGGAUAAGCUUUAAAUUAAAAUUUUAUAAUUUAUAUUAUUUAAAUAAAUUAAAAUUUUUAAAAUUUAUAUUGUUUAUAAAUUAUAAUUUAUUAUAAAAAAAUUUUAAUUAUAAUAAAAUUUAAAAUUAAUUUAAAUUUUUAUAAAAAAAUUAAUUUAAAUAAAAUAAAUUAAGUUAUAAUGAUAAAAUUAGUAUAUUAAUUAAAAUAAUUUAAUAUUAAUUUAAAAUUAAAUUAAAUUAAAGGAAUUCGGCAAAAAUUUAUAUUCACUUGUUUAUCAAAAACAUGUCUUUUUGAUAAUAAUUAAAAGUCUAAUCUGCCCACUGAUAAUUAUAUUAAAGGGCUGCAGUAUAUUGACUGUACAAAGGUAGCAUAAUCAUUAGUCUUUUAAAUGGAGACUUGAAUGAAAGAUUUGAUGAAAUAUAAGCUGUCUCUAAUUUAUUUAUAAAAUUUAAUAUUUUAGUUAAAAAGCUAAAAUAAAUUUAAAAGACGAGAAGACCCUAUAGAGUUUUAUAAUUUAAUUAAUUAAAAUAAUUUAUUAAUUUUAAUAUUAAAAUUAAUUAAAUUAUUUUAUUGGGGUGAUAAAAAAAUUUAAUUAACUUUUUGUAAAAAUUAACAUAAAUAAGUGAUUGAGUGAUCCAUUAAUAAUAAUGAUUAUAAGAUAAAAUUACCUUAGGGAUAACAGCGUAAUGUUUUUUUUUAGUACAAAUAAAAAAAAAAGAUUGCGACCUCGAUGUUGGAUUAAGAUAAAAAUUAAAUGCAAAAGUUUAAAGUUUUGAUCUGUUCGAUCAUUAAAAUCUUACAUGAUCUGAGUUCAAACCGGUGUAAGCCAGGUUGGUUUCUAUCUUUAAAUAGUAUGAAUAUUUUAGUACGAAAGGAUCAAAUAUUAAAAAUAAUUUUAUUUUAAUUGAAUAUUAUUAAUAAAAUUAUAUAUAUAUAUAUAUAUAUAUAUUAUGUAUA